rnacentral:rRNA from 1 species
UACGUAGGGGGCAAGCGUUGUCCGGAAUCAUUGGGCGUAAAGAGCGUGUAGGCGGCCCGAUAAGUCCGCUGUGAAAGUCCAGGGCUCAACCCUGGGAUGCCGGUGGAUACUGUCGGGCUCGAGUCCGGAAGAGGAGUGUGGAAUUCCUGGUGUAGCGGUGAAAUGCGCAGAUAUCAGGAGGAACACCAAUGGCGAAGGCAGCACUCUGGGCCGAUACUGACGCUGAGGAGCGAAAGCGUGGGGAGCGAACAGG